rnacentral:rRNA from 1 species
UACGAAGGGGGGCUAGCGUUGCUCGGAUUUUACUGGGCGUAAAGGGCGCGUAGGCGGACAGUUAAGUUGGGGGGUGAAAGCCCGGGCUCAACCUCGGAAUUGCCUUCAAUACUGGCUGUCUUGAGUGUGAGAGAGGUGUGUGGAACUCCGAGUGUAGAGGUGAAAUUCGUAGAUAUUCGGAAGAACACCAGUGGCGAAGGCGACACACUGGCUCACUACUGACGCUGAGGCGCGAAAGCGUGGGGAGCAAACAGG